rnacentral:rRNA from 1 species
GUAGUCUCGCACAGAUGCAUAUCAAUAAGCGGAGGAAAAGAAACUAACAAGGAUUCCCCUAGUAACGGCGAGUGAAGCGGGAAGAGCUCAAAUUUGAAAUCUUAAAGGGUUUCCCUUUACGAAUUGUAGUUUAAAGAAGUGUUUUCUGUUGAGGUUUUGGUAAAAGUUCUUUGGAAUAGGACAUCAUAGAGGGUGAGAAUCCCGUAUUUGACCUUUACUUUCAACUUUGUGAUACACUUUCAAAGAGUCGGAUUGUUUGGGAAUGCAGUCCAAAAUGGGUGGUAAAUUUCAUCUAAAGCUAAAUAUUGGCGAGAGACCGAUAGCGAACAAGUACCGUGAGGGAAAGAUGAAAAGAACUUUGAAAAGAGAGUUAAACAGUACGUGAAAUUGUCAAAAGGGAAGCGUUUGACACCAGUGUUGUUUUUCUGAAAAUCAAUUAAAGAACUGUUUAUGCUAAGCUGUUUAGACUUUAUCAGCUAAUCUGUUCAGUUUUGAGCUUUUCUUUAAUGCACUUUUCAGUUAACAAGUCAACAUCAAUUUCUUUUGCUGUAAAAAAGCUUGAGGAAGGUGGCUUGAGAUUCGUCUUAAGUGUUUAUAGCCUCUUGCCUAUGCAGUCGGAGAGAUUGAGGUCUGCAGCGUAGAUCCUUCGGGGCUAAAUGCAUUUGUGCUAAGUUAUAGCAUUUUAUAGACAACUUGUUGACUAUGAUUUGUCUUGUAGCUUACUCGCUUAUGUUAUUUUACCUACGCUUAGGAUGUUGAUCUGUAGUGCGUGCGC